rnacentral:rRNA from 1 species
GCGUCCGGUUGGGGAACGUUCACAGGCCAAGUGGAAGUGGGUGAGGCAGAGCCACGCGUUGCUCGCCUUGCUUAAGAUAUGGUCGGGCCCCGGCGGAAACGUCGCGGGAGCUGUAAGCCGUUCCGUAGGUGAACCUGCGGAAGGAUCAUUA